AAUUGACAAGAAACUGAAUAUGGUUGCUGAUAAUGGGCCUUCGUACGCCUAUGUAGAUAUCCCAUUCAAAAUCAGCCGUUUCCAGCUACAAGUCAUUUACAACAUUAACAAUGUCUACACUGUAUUUCUGAUCAAUUUGAUGUAAUUUUAAUGGACAAAAUGUUUUGCUUUUCUUUAAAAAACAAGGACAUUUCAAAGUGACCCCAAACCUUUGAACGGAGGACUACGCAGUGGUCCAGGUGGUGUCUGACCACAGCACACACAGAGAUGAACUGCAGGCCUGCAUCUGGACCAAAGAGCAACGCAUCUAAGACAUGGCCAAAGCCAUGCAGCAGACUCAGGGAGUGCUCAAGGAGCUAGAGGAGCAGAAACAGCACAACACAACCAGGACACCCUGGCUGAAUACACUAGGAAAAUAGAGAACCUGAACCAUCAGCUGAAAGGCAGAGAAGGAUGCGUCUUCAGUAG
rnacentral:lncRNA from 1 species